rnacentral:lncRNA from 1 species
CUGUACAAUACAUCGAGCAAUGAAAUAACGAUUAAUUUGUUCAUUCAAUUUUGUAUUUCGUAUUUGUACAUCGGAAGUUGGAGAACUAACAAAGUGGGGGUGGAGUUCUACUUUUCUCAAGUCUACAAACCUAACUUCAAAUUGCACGUACAAAAACUCAAAUGGAACGUAGCUAUUUUCACAGAACGUGAUGUAAGAAGGCCCCCACCCGGACUCCAUUGAUGGACCCUGAGCUUAUCCCCAAAAUAUAGAAGGUGAAGGGAUCUGGAUUGGCGAAUGAAAGUCAAAGAAAGGGGCCGAAUAAUCGAGGUGAAAUUGAG